AUCCUCCAAAGAAUUAGUGUUUGUGACAAAUGCUUGUGUUUCCUUAAGUGAUAGUGACAUUUUAGCAGGAAAUCAUUAAUUUUCUUUGGAAGGAGAUAUAUUACUUGUCAUAUGUAUUGUCAGGUUCCAUUUCCCAUUAUAUGUUUCAGGGAGGAAAUAAUGCCGGCCACACAGUUGUUGUAGAUUCCGUGGAGUAUGAUUUUCAUCUUUUACCCAGUGGAAUAAUUAAUCCAAAUGUUACUGCAUUCAUUGGAAAUGGUGUGGUAAUUCAUCUUCCGGGAUUAUUUGAGGAAGCAGAAAAAAAUGUUAAAAAA